UACGAAGGGGGCUAGCGUUGCUCGGAAUUACUGGGCGUAAAGCGCACGUAGGCGGGUUCUUAAGUCGGGGGUGAAAUCCUGGAGCUCAACUCCAGAACUGCCUUCGAUACUGAGAGCCUCGAGUCCGGGAGAGGUGAGUGGAACUGCGAGUGUAGAGGUGAAAUUCGUAGAUAUUCGCAAGAACACCAGUGGCGAAGGCGGCUCACUGGCCCGGUACUGACGCUGAGGUGCGAAAGCGUGGGGAGCAAACAGGAUUAGAUCCCCUGGUAGUCCACGCCGUAAACGAUGGAUGCUAGCCGUUGGCGAGCUUGCUCGUCAGUGGCGCAGCUAACGCUUUAAGCAUCCCGCCUGGGGAGUACGGUCGCAAGAUUA
rnacentral:rRNA from 1 species